rnacentral:rRNA from 1 species
GAUAAACGCUGGCGGCGUGCCUAACACAUGCAAGUCGAACGCCCUUUUGCGCAAGUGAGAGGGAGUGGCGGACGGGUGAGUACCACGUGGGUACCUACCUUGAGGUGAGGAAUACCACCGAGAAAUCGGUGACAAGACCGCAUACGCUCGGGCAACCGAGCAAAGUCAUGCAAAUGACGCCACAAGAUGAGCCUGCGCCUGAUUAGCUGGUUGGUGAGGUAACAGCUCACCAAGGCGACGAUCAGUAGCUGGUCUGAGAGGAUGAUCAGCCACACUGGGAUUAAGAACGGCCCAGACUCCGUACGGGGGCGA